rnacentral:rRNA from 1 species
GACGAACGCUGGCGGCGUGCUUAACACAUGCAAGUCGAACGGCAAGGCCCUGAUUUUGUGGGGUGCUCGAGUGGCGAACGGGUGCGUAACACGAGAGUAACCUGCCCUAGACUUUGGGAUAACUUCAGGAAACUGGGGCUAAUACCGGAUAGCAGCUCCUGCAGCAUGGUGGGGGUUGGAACGUUUCGGCGUGAGGGGAUGGACGCGCGGCUUAUCAGUUUGCUGGUGGGGGAGUGGCUGACCAAGCCUUUGACUGGUAGCCGGCCCGGGAGGGUGACCGGCCACAAGGGGACUGAGAGACGGACCAGUGGCGAACAGUGGACAGCAGUGGGGAAUAUGGCACAGUGAUCGGACGUCUGUGGCGGCAGCGUUCGGGUCGGGAUGACGGUUUGCGGGGUGUAAACCGCUUUCGGCUGAGACGAAGCUGGUGUGACGGUAAUGGGUAAAGAAGCACCGGCUAACUACGUG